GCAGUGUAUUAAAAAAUUUUAAUAUUACACUCAAAUUCAAUACUAAAAUAAAAUUAAUCUUAUAAAAUUCGUUUAUAUUAAAAAAACACAAAAAAUCAACGGUCUGGUCUAAGCUAAACGGUUUUAAAUAAAUAUGUUUAAAUAACAACCAAAGUACAUAUUUAAUAAAUGUUUUUAACAAAGCAUCGAAAUGGAAUUAAAAUAAAAAUAUAUCGUCCUAUUAAUCUUUGAAUCGAAUGUACUUGUAUUUAUGUAUACAUUAAGUGCAAAUACUAAACAAAUUGAGAACAAAAAUUAUCUACAUACUACUUAUGUCAAUGUAAUAAUAACAAAUUAUUUAUCUAAUAAUAAAAAUAAAAAGGAAACGAAAUAUUAUGAAAAAUAAAGAUGAACGCAUAAAUAAUUAUGAAGUUAAUUUAGAUAAUGGUGAAAUCAAGAAGUCUCGAUUUUAUAAGAAAUCAAACUAAAAUAAAUGUCAAUGGCGGAUGCAGAUACAAUAUUUUAUUGAGGACUAUUGUCAAUUAAAUGAUGUAUUCUAUUUUACAACAUAUACGAAUACUUCGUGGACUACUGCUUAUCAUUCCUUUUGUGUGUAUUGGUGCAUAUUCUGAUAUGGGAAAAAAUUCAUCUCCUCAAAACCUUUUCACAAAUGCUGGCCGGUCACAAUUCGCAACAAAAAAUAAUUCACGGGUAGUUGUUCAAAAAGGAGGUCUAGCGAUUCUGCCUUGUGUUGUAAAAUUGAAUUCUCCCGCA